rnacentral:piRNA from 1 species
UAAUGAGAGUGCCAGGUGGAUAAAUACUAA